GGGAUUCAAGAGUACGUGAAACCGUUCAGGGGUAAACCUGCGAAACUCGAAUGAACGAACGGGGAGAUUCAUCGUCAUUCGGCGGCGUACGCGCGGGCGCAUCGAUGCCGCACGGUCUCGACCGUGCGGCACGUGUCCUGUCGCGUCGACGUCCGCCGACGGCGUGCACUUCUCCCUCAGUAAUACAUCGCGACCCGUUCGAUGUCGGUCUAAGCGCCGUUCGGGAGCCCAGCGGCGUGUUGCCCUUCGCGGGGUCGCCGCCGUUGGACCGCGACGUGCGUCGACCGGCCGUCGUACGGUAUAAUGUGGACAAUACACAAUAUAUAGGAAUCGCGCACGCGUUACUAGCGCGUCCGGCCCGACGCAAGGCAACGUCGUCUCCGGUGUCCUGCCCGAGCGCGGACGUCGGUGCGGCGCGUCUGUUGUCGCAGCCGUGCAGUCUCGGACACUGUGCGCGUCUCCGUCUGCGAUGAUUCAGUUUCGGGCACUCGCAGGACCCGUCUUGAAACACGG
rnacentral:rRNA from 1 species